ACUAAACAGUAUGUAUAAAAUAUGUUUAAAAUAUGUAAAUUAAUUUUAUGUAAACAAAAAAAAUUUUAGAUUCUAAAUAGAUACAAUUGUGGAGAAGUGCCUAUUCGUGGAUAGUGGUAAACUGAUAAUAAUCAAUCAUAGAUAAUCAUAUAUAUAUCUAUACUCAAGGAUGUAAACCUCGAAGUAAAGUUUUCAAAACACGCAUUUUUAAGAAGAACUCACACAUGGAUGUUUUGGCUCAAUUUUUUUAUUUGUAUAGCGUUACCAUUGGUGACACGAAAUAAAAUAAUUGUUAUAAUCACGUAACAUUUUAAAACUAUAUCCUGUAUGUAUUUGGUAUAUUUACAAACAUAAAUGUCAACACUGAACAGAAUCAGUUGGUACAAUAGCAAACACCACACGCGCAAGCUUUUGCUAUUAUAAUACAAUAAGCCAAAAUAUUACCAAAAUGUAAAUACUAUUGCCAACUCAGUUAUGUUGGCGAGAAUAACGGAUUUUUAGUUUGGUUUAAUAAAGUGAUACUAUCAAGGAAGUUAUUAUACAUAAUAUAGCUACAGACUUGGCAAUGAAGAUGGAAACAAAAACUUUUGAAAUAAAAAAAAAAAAGCACAUACGCCAGUUUUUAUUUAAGUACUAGAUUUGAUGUUAAAUCGAUGUUUCCCGCUUGAACAACAUGAACACAUUUAUUUUAUUGUUUCAAUAGAAAGCGUUUCAAAAUGUGUAUUAUAAUUGUACUCUUAUAUUAUUAUGUCUUUCAAAAAGUAAAUGUACCAAUACUAACUACGUUU